CCAGGAAAUCCUCUCGACUACGGGUCUCAAGGGUCUUCUGGCAGAAUGGAGGUAGAGAUCUUCCAGGGGUGGAAUCAUGAUCUGACUGAGGGCUCUCCACCCUCGGAUUCGUCUUUUCGGGAAAGAUGGGGCGGCUGGCCCAAGUGGCCCGUCCUACCACCGGACUUUGGUGUUCUGGUGAUGCUCUCUCCAGUCGCACUGAUGCCUGCAGCAGCUGCUACUGUUGUAUGGCCUGCACAGCUUCAGUGAGGCCUCUGACCUGCUGCACUAGUAGGUUGAAUUGCUCCGUGCCAACCACCGUUGCCAAAGGAGGAGGAGGAGGCUGGAAAAUUGAGGGUGAGGCCAGAGCCUGAGAUCUGGCCACGG
rnacentral:lncRNA from 1 species